UAUGGUCUCCAUAUUCUUGUCAAAUGAUUCACCACUUGUCAGAUAAAUCGGUGUGUUGGUUAUAGACUUAUUAUCAUGCCAUGCCAUGUCCGAAAGCCACAAGAACGUCCACUCUGUCAUGAGGUCCUUGAUGUGAGGCUAUAUCUUGCCAUUCUUAAUUGUUGGAGGACAUUAUUGUGCACUUGGUGUAGUUAAUGAACGACAACACUUGAACGAGACUUUUAAGAGUACAAGGUACUUAUCCAUUAUAGUUAGGAGUUACUCUCUCAUUUGAGAUUUUUAUACAAAACGUGAAUUAAUAGACAUGUUACACCAUAAUAUAUAAUGCAAAUUUAAAAGCUUCUCAAACCUGGGUGACAAUGAGUAGGGUAAGAUACAGUUUAGAUCCAACCCUAAUCCUACCUGCGGGUUGACAAUAUUCCAAUUCUAACUCUACCGUUCUUAACCCGCGGAUACUCGACCCUACCCAUGGGUUACCAAAAAGAUGCAACAUUAUUAUAUAACUGGAUGAUAAUUUACAAUAGAACUGACUUUUAUAUAUAAAAAAAAAACGUAUUAAAUUAUCAAUUAAUGAUCUUUUCUUAGUGGCUAAGGAUCUUUUGCAUUUAGUGAGAAGUCUUUGGUUUCACAUCUAGUUGAAACAUAUUUUUAUAUAAGUAUAUAACAUAUACAUAUAUAGGGUGCAGGUUGGUCGGGUAAGAUUGAGGCUCAACCCGCACGAGAACCCAACCCUACCUGCUACGGAUUGGGUUGGCAACCCUACCUGACCGGAUUGGAUAUCCGCGGGUAGGGUGCAUGUUGCCACCCUUAGCCUUAAUAUGCAAUUUAAAAUUUGGCAUAAAAUUUGUUCAGUGCAAAAACUGAGUUUGAAAAACGUCUCGAAUACGAAAAGUCCAACAAAUGUCAAACAACAUUCAUCUUCUUUGAUGCAGUAGUAGGUAUGGACAUGAGAACACAGAGAUGCAGAUAAAAGAUUCUUGUCUAGAACAACAGCAAGCAGAGAAAAACUGUUUUCACCCAAAUAUUUAUCAUCAAGGUCUUUCUAAUUGCCCUAUUUUGUGGUUGAAAUUGUAGUUAACAUAUUAAAGAGGAAGCUUUCAGCUGAAAAAAUCUAGUUUUGUAUGAAAACUAACCAACAGGUUUAUAGUUUAUACUAACCAUGUGCAGAUUGUUAGGACAAGGCUGAGGUGUGACAGCCUCUAUCUGCUGAAAGGGCACUUUCGCAAGCAUAGAUAAGCCAACAAGCCAAUUGAUCUUAUGCCGAGGAGCAACAAGAUUCACACACUUCGAUCGCGGACUCAUUUUGGAUAAUGCCUUUAGUAACUCUAACACAUCUCUUUGAAAUACAUCUAUUCAAAUGCUGUUCAAAGCUUUGCAGCUUGAGUUUAUCACAGAACUGUACUAAAUAUGAAAUAUAGUCAGUAGAAUCUAAGACACAGGCAGAAAUAUGAAUCUACACCAAAUAACA